rnacentral:lncRNA from 1 species
UGUAUAGCCAGGGGUUGCCCCUUCCCAGGUGCAGAAUCCAGCACUUGCUCUUGGAGGAUACAGAACCAGCAUGAAGAUGCCUUGGGUGAACAGAUGUCUCUUCUAUCAGUAUCAUGCUCUGGGGACACAUUUUUUGUCAGUAGUUAAGGAAUCGUAUAUCUUCUGAUACUCAGAGAGAAUGCAUCAAGAACAACACACAAGAGCUAGCAGAAAGGCAAAGCUGGGAAAUCCUGAAUACUGAUACAGCUGUUAA